GGGUUGUGAGGUUAAGCGACUAAGCGUACACGGUGGAUGCCCUGGCAGUCAGAGGCGAUGAAGGGCGUGCUAAUCUGCGAUAAGCGCCGGUAAGGUGAUAUGAACCGUUAUAACCGGCGAUACCCGAAUGGGGAAACCCAGUGUGACUCGUCACACUAUCAUUAACUGAAUCCAUAGGUUAAUGAGGCGAACC
rnacentral:rRNA from 2 species